AUUGAACGCUGGCGGCAGGCCUAACACAUGCAAGUCGAGCGGAUGAAGGGAGCUUGCUCCUGGAUUCAGCGGCGGACGGGUGAGUAAUGCCUAGGAAUCUGCCUGGUAGUGGGGGAUAACGUCCGGAAACGGGCGCUAAUACCGCAUACGUCCUGAGGGGGAAAGUGGGGGAUCUUCGGACCUCACGCUAUCAGAUGAGCCUAGGUCGGAUUAGCUAGUUGGUGGGGUAAAGGCCUACCAAGGCGACGAUCCGUGACUGGUCUGAGAGGAUGAUCAGUCACACUGGAACUGAGACACGGUCCAGACUCCUACGGGAGGCAGCAGUGGGGAAUAUUGGACAAUGGGCGAAAGCCUGAUCCAGCCAUGCCGCGUGUGUGAAGAAGGUCCUCGGAUUGUAAAGCACUUUAAGUUGGGAGGAAGGGCAGUAAGUUAAUACCUUGCUGUUUUGACGUUACCAACAGAAUAAGCACCGGCUAACUUCGUG
rnacentral:rRNA from 1 species